rnacentral:rRNA from 1 species
AUGGCCGGCGAGGGCGGAAGCGGCGGAGAGCGCAGCAAGGACCCGCUGGAGGGCGUCCGCGCCAUCGUGCUCAAGCCGUCCGAGUCCCUCGACGAGUCGCGGUUCACCAAAAUCGCCGGCGCCGACUUCAACGACGCCGGCCUCGGCCUCGACGGCCUCCUUGGGUCGCUCGCCUCCACGGGGUUCCAGGCGUCCAACCUCGGCGACGCCAUCGACGUCGUCAAUCAGAUGUUAGAUUGGAGGCUGUCGCAUGAGAAGCCAAGCGAGGACUGUGAUGAAGCUGAACUUGACCCGAAAUACAGAGAAUCUGUCAAGUGCAAGAUAUUCCUUGGUUUCACUUCGAACCUUGUUUCUUCCGGUAUACGGGAUGUAAUACGGUUUCUAGUUCAACAUCACAUGGUGGAUGUUGUUGUAACGACAGCUGGGGGUAUAGAGGAAGACCUCAUAAAAUGCCUAGCACCAACGUACCGAGGUGAAUUUUCUUUACCUGGGGCACUGCUACGGUCAAAAGGACUUAACCGGAUAGGAAAUCUGUUGGUGCCCAAUGAUAACUAUUGCAAGUUUGAAAACUGGAUCAUGCCACUCUUUGACCAGAUGCUACAAGAACAAUCUACCGAGAAUGUCUGGACACCAUCAAAGGUGAUUGCUCGUCUUGGCAAAGAAAUAAAUGAUGAAAGCUCCUACCUUUAUUGGGCAUACAAGAACAAUAUUCCUGUAUACUGCCCAGCAUUGACUGAUGGAUCACUCGGAGACAUGCUGUUUUGUCAUGCAGUUCGCAAUCCUGGUCUUAUUAUCGACAUUGUACAAGAUAUAAGGCUGAUAAAUGGUGAAGCCAUUCAUGCAAGCCCAAGGAAGACAGGGGUCAUAAUUCUUGGUGGAGGCCUUCCAAAGCAUCAUAUAUGCAAUGCAAAUAUGUUCCGCAAUGGUGCAGAUUAUGCAGUCUAUAUCAACACGGCUCAAGAGUUUGAUGGAAGUGACUCAGGAGCACGGCCAGAUGAAGCAGUUUCAUGGGGAAAGAUCAAAGGUUCAGCAAAACCUGUAAAGGUCCACUGUGAUGCAACUAUCGCUUUCCCGUUACUUGUAGCUGCAACAUUUGCACGUAGGUCUCAUGGUGCAAAUUCAACCAACUGA